AUGCCAGUGGCCGGCGGGCUGCCCCUGCUUCAGGCGGAUCCGAGCCCUAACCACCAUCCUAGCAGGCCCGGCUCUAACCACGAUUCGCCUCUUCCUCUGCGGUGGCCAGAGGCAGCUUGCAAAGGAACCGCCAUUAAGGGCUCCAGCAGAGGGGCAGAGAGGCUGUGUUCCCUGGCAGGGAUCAGCCGAGGACCACGCUCACGUGCGCAUGGAGACAUCCCCGGGAACUCAAGGCCGCAGUCUUGGAAACGCAGGCUUCCGCAACUGGCGCGUUAGAGAACGUUUCUUCUUCUUGUGGUGAUUGUUUAGCUUAUUAUCGCGCCGUCUUCGACUAUAAUUUGCUGUUUAAUCAUGAUGACAUCUCCAUAUGUUCGUUGAUGUUAUCAUUUUUAAGCAGCAAAGCGGCUAGCCUUGUUGACAGUUCGGGGAGGUGACAUUAAUUAACCAGGGCGAGCAUGCCCCAUUGAUGAGGCGGUGGGAGUAUUGGGAGUGGGACUGAGUGGGCUUCAGGCACGGAGGACAUCGUCAUACCUACCUCCUCCCCACGUCGAAGCAGCCUCUCCGUGUCUUCACACCGCCCGUGGCU
rnacentral:lncRNA from 13 species